rnacentral:rRNA from 1 species
GCAAGUCGAGGGAGAACCAGUUGUUCCGUAAGGAUCGGCUGGGGAAACCGGCGAACGGGUGCGUAACACGUGAGGAACCUGCCCCGAAGACUGGGAUAGCCCGAGGAAACUCGGAUUAAUACCGGAUACCCUCUUUGGACCACAUGGUCUGUUGAGGAAAUGGUCCGCCGCUUCGGGAUGGCCUCGCGGCCUAUUAGCUUGUUGGUGAGGUAAUGGCUCACCAAGGCUCCGACGGGUAGCUGGUCUGAGAGGACGAUC